AGAGUUUGAUUCUGGCUCAGGAUGAACGCUACGGCAGGCCUAAUACAUGCAAGUCGAGGGGCAGCAGGGGUAGCAAUACUCGCUGGCGACCGGCGCACGGGUGCGUAACACGUAUGCAACUUUCCUUCAACUGGAAGAUAGCCCGAAGAAAUUCGGAUUAAUAUUCCAUAGUUAUAUGAAAUGGCAUCAUUUUAUAUUUAAAGCUCAGGCGGUUGAAGAUGGGCAUGCGUUCGAUUAGCUAGUUGGUGAGGUAAUGGCUCACCAAGGCUACGAUCGAUAGGGGAUCUGAGAGGAUUAACCCCCCACACUGGUACUGAGACACGGACCAGACUCCUACGGGAGGCAGCAGUAAGGGAUAUUGGACAAUGGAGGCAACUCUGAUCCAGCCAUGCCGCGUGAAGGAUGAAGGUCCUAUGGAUUGUAAACUUCUUUUGAACGGGAGAAAACCUUCGGUCGUGUACCGAAGCUGAUAGUACCGUUAGAAUAAGGGUCGGCUAACUUCGUGCCAGCAGCCGCGGUAAUACGAAGGACCCGAGCGUUAUCCGGAUUUAUUGGGUUUAAAGGGUGCGUAGGCGGAAUGGUAAGUCAGUGGUGAAAUCUUGUGGCUUAACUGCAAAACUGCCAUUGAUACUGCCAAUCUUGAGUACAUUUGAUGUGGGCGGAAUGUGCCAUGUAGUGGUGAAAUACUUAGAUAUGGCACAGAACACCGAUCGCGAAGGCAGCUCACAAAACUGUUACUGACGCUGAGGCACGAAAGCGUGGGGAUCAAACAGGAUUAGAUACCCUGGUAGUCCACGCCUUAAACUAUGAUUACUCGAUGUGUGCGAUACACAGUACGCGUCUAAGCGAAAGCGUUAAGUAAUCCACCUGGGGAGUACGGUCGCAAGAUUGAAACUCAAAGAAAUUGACGGGGGCCCGCACAAGCGGAGGAGCAUGUGGUUUAAUUCGAUGAUACGCGAGGAACCUUACCUGGGCUUGAAAGUUAGUGAAUGCUGUGGAAACAUGGCAGGCCGCAAGGACACGAAACUAGGUGCUGCAUGGCUGUCGUCAGCUCGUGCCGUGAGGUGUUGGGUUAAGUCCCGCAACGAGCGCAACUCCUAUCUUUAGUUGCCAGCGAGUAAUGUCGGGGACUCUAAAGAAACUGCCCGUGCAAACGGUGAGGAAGGUGGGGAUGACGUCAAGUCAGCACGGCCCUUACGUCCAGGGCUACACACGUGCUACAAUGGCGAGUACAAAGGGCAGCUACAUGGUGACAUGAUACUAAUCUCUAAAACUCGUCUCAGUUCGGAUUGAAGUCUGCAAUUCGACUUCAUGAAGCUGGAUUCGCUAGUAAUCGAAUAUCAGCAAUGAUUCGGUGAAUACGUUCCCGGGCCUUGUACACACCGCCCGUCAAACAAUGGAAGCUGAGGGUACUUAAAGUCGAUAACCGCAAGGAGUCGCCUAGGGUAAAAUCGGUAACUGGUGUUAAGUCGUAACAAGGUA
rnacentral:rRNA from 1 species